UACAGAGGGGGCAAGCGUUAAUCGGAAUUACUGGGCGUAAAGCGUGCGUAGGCGGUUUGUUAAGUCUGUUGUGAAAUCCCCGGGCUUAACCUGGGAAUGGCAUUUGGGACUGCAAGGCUGGAGUGCGGCAGAGGAGACUGGAAUUCCUGGUGUAGCGGUGAAAUGCGCAGAUAUCAGGAAGAACACCCGUGGCUAAGGCGGCUCUCGUAGUACGGUACUGACGCUGAGACGCGAAAGCGUGGGGAGCGAACAGG
rnacentral:rRNA from 1 species